GUGGGGAAUUUUGGACAAUGGGGGCAACCCUGAUCCAGCCAUGCCGCGUGCGGGAAGAAGGCCUUCGGGUUGUAAACCGCUUUUGUCAGGGAAGAAAUCCUUUGGGUUAAUACCUCGGAGGGAUGACGGUACCUGAAGAAUAAGCACCGGCUAACUACGUGCCAGCAGCCGCGGUAAUACGUAGGGUGCGAGCGUUAAUCGGAAUUACUGGGCGUAAAGCGUGCGCAGGCGGUUUUGUAAGACAGGCGUGAAAUCCCCGGGCUCAACCUGGGAAUUGCGCUUGGGACUGCAAGGCUGGGGUGCGGCAGAGGGGGAUGGAAUUCCGCGUGUAGCAGUGAAAUGCGUAGAUAUGCGGAGGAACACCGAUGGCGAAGGCAAUCCCCUGGGCCUGCACUGACGCUCAUGCACGAAAGCGUGGGGAGCAAACAGGAUUAGAAACCCUGGUAGUCC
rnacentral:rRNA from 1 species